UACAGAGGUCUCAAGCGUUGUUCGGAUUCAUUGGGCGUAAAGGGUGCGUAGGUGGCGCUGUAAGUCGGGUGUGAAAUUUCGGAGCUUAACUCCGAAACUGCAUUCGAUACUGCGGUGCUUGAGGACUGGAGAGGAGACUGGAAUUCAUGGUGUAGCGGUGGAAUGCGUAGAGAUCCGGAGGAAGACCGGUGGCGAAGGCGGUCUGCUGGGCAGUUUCUGACACUGAUGCGCGACAGCGUGGGGAGCAAACAGG
rnacentral:rRNA from 1 species